ACUCAAAUGAAUUGACGGGGAGCCGCACAAGCAGUGGAGCGUGUUGUUUAAUUCGAUGGUAAGCGAAGAACCUUACCAAGGCUUGACUUCCUAGGAAUUUUGGCGAAAGCCGAGAGUGCCUUCGGGAACCUAGUGACAGGUGUUGCAUGGCCGUCUUCAGCUCGUGUCGUGAGAUGUUAGGUUAAGUCCUUCAACGAGCGCAACCCUUAUGGCUAGUUGUAUUUCUCUAGUCAGACUGCCCCGGUAACGGGGAGGAGGGAGGGGAUGAUGUCAGGUCUGUAUUACCCUUAUGCCUUGGGCUACAAACGCGCUACAAUGGCCGGUACAACGGGCAGCUAAGUCGCAAGACGGAGCAAAUCCCAUCAAAGCCGGUCCCAGUUCGGAUUGCAGGCUGAAACUCGCCUGCAUGAAGUUGGAAUUGCUAGUAAUCGCAGAUCAGCAUGCUGCGGUGAAUACGUUCCCGGCUCUUGUACACACCGCCCGU
rnacentral:rRNA from 1 species